rnacentral:misc_RNA from 1 species
UUCUAUCUAUCUAGAACGCAACGGCGGGAGUCGUUGAAAGACAAACCAGGCAAGCCAUGUUCUCGGACCGAGCCAAGCCAACACGAAUCGGUUCUGUUUUGCCCCUUUUCGUUUGACAGGAGUGUCCAUAGGUAGGAGCUUCUUUACGCGGUGAUUUCGCUUUGUUUACUUGACAGCGUCGACCUCGUUCACGGUGAUGGUGUUGAUAUAAAGUGCUGAAUUUGCCAGACAGAGUCAUGCAUUGUACCGGAGGCUUGCAGGUUGAUUUUUGUGGGCAGACAGAAGGAAUUGGAAAGGUUGACUGCUGCGUACAGACCAAAUGUUCCAUUAAGAGGAAUCGUGAAGUACAGACUCAAUAUUUUGCAGAGGUGCUCAAGGUGACAGCAGUUUCCUGAAAAGAAUUUCCGCCUGUCCGGAAUGUGGUGACCUGUUCUUGAUGCGAGAUGCUUUGGAUGGACACUUGCAGCAGGUGCAUAAGCAGAGGAACCAGCGUGGCUUGCAUAAAAAGAAGCAUGGAGGCAGGCAGUCAUUUGAGUGCCAAUUCUGUCAAAAGCUUUUCAUGAAGCGGGAACACCUAGAUUUUCAUUUGAGAAACCAUGCGGAUGAGAGGAACCAUGUCAGCUUGCCUAAUAAGACCAAGAUAGGAGAAAAACCAUUCCAGUGCCAAUUCUGUAGAAUGGGCUUCAACCGGCGGGAGCUUCGUGACCGGCACUUGAGAACCCACUUGAAGAAGACCAGUUGGGCGAGAAGCGACAUAAGUGCGCAGACUGUGGGGAAUGUUUCACGAAGCAGUCUUAUCUGGCAUGCCACCAGAUGUUGCACAGCAACCACACAUGCACUAAUGUGUGUCCCAACUGUGGCCGGUCCUUCACACAAAAGCAUAUCCUCAUUCAACAUAUGCUGUCCGAGCAUACUGAUAAAAGGCCAUAUGCUUGCCUAUUGUGUGGGAGGACGUUUACAUCAGCAGCAGGUGCAAGGAAGCACGAAGACGUGUUCCACAAUCAUCACCUGUAUCACUGUGAAUUGUGUGGCAAAAAGUAUUCCUCAAAAAGUUAUUUUACACGACACUUGCAGUCGCAUCAUGAAUUAACAAGUCAGCCUUCUGGAAGCAUGGAACAGCAAUUGACCAUCGAAGCAGAGGAUGAUGAUAUAGCGUGAAAAAAUGAACACUGUAGUGGCUUAGUAGAUGGGGGAUUCUGGUGCUGAUGACAAAUUGUUGGAUCGACAUUCAGCUGCAUGGGCUGCAUUCUGAUGCAGUUGGAAUGCUACAUUUUGUAUUAGAUUUAGAUUUGUGUUAAUGAAAUCCUACAUCACUAAAAUCAACCUGGGGCUUACCACUUCAUCUCUUAUGAGCCCCUGUGUGCCAUGUGAAAUUGUGCGUUUAAAAUUCAAUAAAAGAAUUAUGAAGUUUCUGUGCA